rnacentral:rRNA from 1 species
CAAAGGAAUUGACGGGACCCGCACAAGCAGCGGAGCGUGUGGUUUAAUUCGAGGCUACACGAAGAACCUUACCAGGGUUUGACAUGCAAGUGGUAGGAAUCCGAAAGGUGACCGACCCUUCGGGGAGCUUGCACAGGUGCUGCAUGGCUGUCGUCAGCUCGUGCCGUGAGAUGUUCGGUUAAGUCCGCUAACGAGCGCAACCCUCGUCGUGUGUUAUACGUGUCACACGAUACUGCCGGUAUCAAGCCGGAGGAAGGUGGGGAUGAUGUCAAGUCAGCAUGGCCUUUAUAUCCUGGGCUACACACACGCUACAAUGGCAGAUACAAUAGGUUGCGAAACCGCGAGGUGGAGCCAAUCCUCAAAGUCUGUCUCAGUUCAGAUUGUAGGCUGCAACUCGCCUGCAUGAAGUUGGAGUUGCUAGUAAACGCAGGUCAGCUAUACUGCGUUGAAUACGUUCCCGGGGUUU